rnacentral:rRNA from 1 species
ACACAUGCAAGUCGAACGAUGAAGCUCCAGCUUGCUGGGGUGGAUUAGUGGCGAACGGGUGAGUAACACGUGAGUAACCUGCCCCUGACUUCGGGAUAACCGCGAGAAAUCGUGGCUAAUACUGGAUGUUCACAUGUGCCUGCAUGGGUGUGUGUGGAAAGAUUUAUCGGUUGGGGAUGGGCUCGCGGCCUAUCAGCUUGUUGGUGGGGUGAUGGCCUACCAAGGCGACGACGGGUAGCCGGCCUGAGAGGGUGACCGGCCACACUGGGACUGAGACACGGCCCAGACUCCUACGGGAGGCAGCAGUGGGGAAUAUUGCACAAUGGGCGAAAGCCUGAUGCAGCGACGCCGCGUGAGGGAUGACGGCCUUCGGGUUGUAAACCUCUUUCAGUAGGGAAGAAGCCUUCGGGUGACGGUACCUGCAGAAGAAGCGCCGGCCAACUACGUGCCAGCAGCCGCGGUAAUACGUAGGGCGCAAGCGUUGUCCGGAAUUAUUGGGCGUAAAGAGCUCGUAGGCGGUUUGUCGCGUCUGCUGUGAAAACGCAAGGCUUAACCUUGCGCCUGCAGUGGGUACGGGCAGACUAGAGUGCGGUAGGGGAGACUGGAAUUCCUGGUGUAGCGGUGGAAUGCGCAGAUAUCAGGAGGAACACCGAUGGCGAAGGCAGGUCUCUGGGCCGUUACUGACGCUGAGGAGCGAAAGCAUGGGGAGCGAACAGGAUUAGAUACCCUGGUAGUCCAUGCCGUAAACGUUGGGCACUAGGUGUGGGGUCCAUUCCACGGAUUCCGCGCCGCAGCUAACGCAUUAAGUGCCCCGCCUGGGGAGUACGGCCGCAAGGCUAAAACUCAAAUGAAUUGACGG